rnacentral:rRNA from 1 species
GCGAGUCGUGAGUCCUAGGGACUCGGCGUACCGCUCAGUAACACGUGGGUAACCUGCCCUAUGCUGGGGAAUAACCUCGGGAAACUGAGAAUAAUGCCCCAUAGUUCACCACGCCUGGAACGGUGGGUGGAUGAAAGCUCCGGCGGCAUAGGAUGGGCCUGCGGCGUAUCAGGUUGUAGGGGGUGUAAUGUACCCUCUAGCCAUCUACGCGUACGGGUGUUGAGAGACAUCGCCCGGAGAUGGAUUCUGAGACACGAAUCCAGACCCUACGGGGUGCAGCAGGCGCGAAAACUUGGCAAUGCGAGCAAUCGUGACCAGGGAACUCCAAGUGCAUCGGGUAAUACCGAUGCUUUUCUUGACUCUUCAAAGGUCUUGGAAUAAGGGGUGGGUAAGGACGGUGCCAGCCGCCGCGGUAAUACCGGCGCCUCAAGUGGUAGUCGCUUUUAUUGGGCCUAAAACGUCCGUAGCCGGUUUGGUACAUUCGUGGGUAAAUCAAGACGCUCAACGUCUUGAAUUCUGCGAGCACGGCCAGACUUGGGACCGGGUGAGGUGUGGGGUACUCUCAGGGUAGGGGUAAAAUCCUGUCAUCCUGAGAGGACCACCUGUUGCGAAGGCGCCACACUAGAACGGAUCCGACGGUCAGGGACGAAGCCUAGGGGCACGAACCGGAUUAGAUACCCGGGUAGUCCUAGGUGUAAACGCUGUGGACUUGAUGUUGGGAG